AACAUGCAAGUCGACGGUAGCACAGAGAGCUUGAUCUCGGGUGACGAGUGGCGGACGGGUGAGUAAUGUCUGGGAAACUGCCUGAUGGAGGGGGAUAACUACUGGAAACGGUAGCUAAUACCGCAUAACGUCGCAAGACCAAAGAGGGGGACCUUCGGGCCUCUUGCCAUCAGAUGUGCCCAGAUGGGAUUAGCUAGUAGGUGGGGUAACGGCUCACCUAGGCGACGAUCCCUAGCUGGUCUGAGAGGAUGACCAGCCACACUGGAACUGAGACACGGUCCAGACUCCUACGGGAGGCAGCAGUGGGGAAUAUUGCACAAUGGGCGCAAGCCUGAUGCAGCCAUGCCGCGUGUAUGAAGAAGGCCUUCGGGUUGUAAAGUACUUUCAGCGGGGAGGAAGGCGAUAAGGUUAAUAACCUUGUCGAUUGACGUUACCCGCAGAAGAAGCACCGGCUAACUCCGUGCCAGCAGCCGCGGUAAUACGGAGGGUGCAAGCGUUAAUCGGAAUUACUGGGCGUAAAGCGCACGCAGGGCGGUCUGUCAAGUCGGAUGUGAAAUCCCCGGGCUCAACCCUGGGAACUGCAUUCGAAACUGGCAGGGCUGGAGUCUUGUAGAGGGGGGUAGAAUUCCAGGUGUAGCGGUGAAAUGCGUAGAGAUCUGGAGGAAUACCGGUGGCGAAGGCGGCCCCCUGGACAAAGACUGGACGCUCAGGGGGGAAAACCGUGGGAGAGCACACCGGAUUAGAUACCCUGGUAGUCCACGCUGUAAACGAUGUCGACUUGAAGGUUGUUCCCUUGAGGAGUGGCUUCCGGAGCUAACGCGUUAAGUCCGACCGCCUUGGGGAGUACGGCC
rnacentral:rRNA from 1 species